rnacentral:misc_RNA from 1 species
GAAAUGCGAUAAGUAAUGUGAAUUGCAGAAUUCAGUGAAUCAUCGAAUCUUUGAACGCAUCUUGCGCUCCUUGGUAUUCCUUGGAGCAUGCCUGUUUGAGUAUCAUGAAAUCUUCAAAGUAAAUCUUUUGUUAACUCAAUUGGUUUCUACUUUGGUAUUGGAGGUCUUUGCAGCUUCACACCUGCUCCUCUUUGUUCAUUAACUGGAUCUCAGUGUUAUGCUUGGUUCCACUCGGCGUGAUAAGUUAUCUAUCGCUGAGGACACUGUAAAAGGUGGCCAAGGUAAAUGCAGAUGAACCGCUUCUAAUAGUCCAUUGACUUGGACAAUACUUUUAUGAUCUGAUCUCAAAUCAGGUAGGACUACCCGCUGAACUUAAGC